rnacentral:misc_RNA from 1 species
AGAUAUGUAUAUGCACAUGCACAUACAUGUGCACUGCAAACUUUAGAAUACUUUCGUCUCACCCCACCACCCACAUCGAUCCACACGCCGACGCAGAUCUGUGGCGUUAUCGUGCAGUUGCUUGAGUGUUCCGGGGUGUCUUCCAUGGUAAAGCGGGCCGCUCUGUUCACUCCUUCCUCUCUACCUUUGCGAGGUGAUUCUCGUGGAGAGUAAGCCGGGCAGCCUCUCGCUGGCCCCCACCCUCCUAAGCCGUCCCUUCUUUGAUAGACAUGUCUUACAAUGGUCGCAAGCUGAGGUACUUUGUGGAAGACUCGGAUGGGUGGCUGCGCCGGAACCAGCAGGUGGCGGAGCAGUUUGUGAUGGCUGAAGAUGAUAGGGAGACAAAGGAGAUGCUGAGCCUAUUGGCACCGCGAGCUCACUUUGCGAGCUUCUGGGGUGUGGUGCGCGGGCUGCCAGCGGCAGUGGCGCUGCAGGCACAGGAGCGAGAGCAUCUGCGCAUCACAUGGACCUCUGGGCUGCAACCUUUGACAUCCCGCACAUUUGCCCGCAACGGGUAUGUGCACGUCCUCGACAGAGAGCGCAUUUCAUUCAUUCCCAUUCUCGGGCCGUGGCUCUCUUCCUUUUUUCAGAGGCCGGUGCAAGAGCUGCUGGUGGUGCGGGACGGCCGCGUGGUGUUCCGUAGUAUGGGCUAUGUCUGGGACAUCGGCAAGCAUUAGCGAGGGGAGAGUGAGAGGAAGGGAACAAGAGAGAGGGAGAGAGGGUGGGUGCGUAUCACACGCCCCGCCAGACAGCGCGCUUCUCCGCUGUUUUCCUCGUGUUUCUCUCGCGGGGGGGGUCGCAGUGCGGGAGUGACCAACAGCGUGUGUUUGGCUCUCCUCCUCCUACUGUCUCCACGACCCAUCCACCCACCCAUCCAUCCAUCUAUUCAUCUCCCUUUGGUCUUUGGCCGAUCUACUCUGCUCUGUCUUUUCAAUGGUGUCGCUUUUUGUACGUGGGCGGUGUGGCGCCGCCAGCGCGUGUGAGCGUCGCGGAAUUUGGCUCGAACAGAAAACGACAAAGCAAAUACACGGAAAACAAAGACUUUGGUGCACACCAGCACACACGAGUGAGGCGGGCGGGUGGGCGGGAGCGGUCUGUGUGCUCCCUCGCCUCACAAACGUUUGCGCGUCGUUCCGCUGUGGUCACGCGAAGAUCUUUAUUUUUUUUUUCUCUCUUGCGCCGUUGCCUAAUGGUGAGACGGCAUAGUUGUCGCCGUGUGUUUAGGGCACAGUGAGAGACUCAUGCUAACGACAGAGUAGCUGCAUCUCAGUGCGUUCAUCUGGGAGAGAGAGGGGAAGGGGUGUGCAGCCUGCUUCUCUGUUGAUUCCACCAUGCGUGCGUGUGAAGCUGGUGCUGCUGCUGUCAAUGCUAUUUUCUAUUGUGUUUCUCCUCUCCACCUUCUCCCACGCUGGGGGUGUGAACCAUCAAG